rnacentral:lncRNA from 1 species
UCAUUAACUUUAUCCUCUCAUGAAUGGAAGGAACCAGCUAUAAGGAUCUCUUUGUGACAUUCCUACUCCUCCUUCACCUCCUGCUAUGAUUGUAGCUUCCCGACGCCUCCCCAGAAGCUGAGCAGAUGCUGGUGCCAAGCUUCCUGUGCAACCUAAAGAACCGACCCAAUUGUGGCCACUUCAGCUGGCCCAGGCUUUCCCGAAAUGUGAGGACAGUGAUCUCCCUACUCUUCCUCCUGCAGGCUGGUGGCAAAAACACAAAGUCCACUUGAGACCACAAAGUCCAAGGAUCCUUGCUUAUUCCUGGAAUAUACUAGGAAAAAUACAGGUAGAAACAUCACAAAGAAAUGUCACAAUAAAUUAAAUUGCC